ensembl:snRNA U6 U6 spliceosomal RNA
GUGCUCGAUUCGGCAGCACUUAUACUAAAAUUGGAAUGAUACAGAGAAGAUUAGCACGGCCCCUGCGCAAGGAUGACACACAAGUUCUUGAAGUAUUCCAUAUUUUU